CUCUCCCUUAGCUCUCCGAGGCCCUCUCCCUCCACCAAGCCAGGGGCCCAGGAGAGGGGAACCCACCAAAAAAACCACAAAACCCCACCGAUCCCUACUUAUUCCCUGUAAUUGCAGCCCAUUCUGUAGGUGCAUCCCGCCAAAAAUACGACCCUCCGACUCUGGUUUCCUCAAACAUGAUCGCUACACUCCAGCCCACGAAUUUAAGAUCCAGGAAUGACGGGUGGGUGAGCUGAAGAUGAGGUGGGCUCAAACGACUGAGAAAUAAGAUCCCUUAUAUGAGCCCGAAGGAGGGUGAUUUUGGAAAACAGUUAACUUUGCAUACCCAGAGGGAAAGGGAAGGUGAAACUGGCUCCUAAGAGGAUGGAUGUUGGGCUUCACUCACCUUCCAGAAGAUGCCCUGCAGACUGGACUUGAUCUCUACCCGCUCUGCCUACAUCUCCAGUCCGGGGCAGUCAGACCUGAUGCUCGGCGGUGACCUGAAAUGAGAAGAAACCUCUCGCCAAGCUCACCAAGAAGCUCCAGAUUCCACUCCUGCAAUGAAGAUUUUUAAAGCAAAUCCAAACAUCGUGUGAUAUCAUCUGUAAACACUCCACGUGCACCCAUGGAAGAACUCUGUCAUAUGUACAUACUUACAAAUCUG
ensembl:lncRNA